UUCAGCCUUGAGCCACCAUUAUUUGUUUUUUGUGUCGGAAGAACCACACGUGUUUAAAAUUUUGCCCUUACUAAGGACAAAAGUGAAGUUAUCGAUUCUUCGGAAUUAUAUAUUCAAAGAUUAUAAUCUACAAUCCUUGCAUAAAUUAUUGAGAACCAUGUUGAUGACGAAGAAUCCAUAUAUUGGAAUGGAAUUGAGAAGAUUCAACAAGUUACGUUCCUAUUGGCAGAAGAAUGAUGCAAACGAAUCGAAUACGCUUUCAGAUGAAGCACAAAACAGUUGUCAAAGAUAACUUUUGUAGAAGGUAUUGCCUGUUGUUGUAAUGGCGAGCUGUCCACAGUACAGGCUGCAGAUUGUGGUGUGUAACUUUCAUUAUAGAUGCCUGUGGCUAACACAGAUUUUCAGCUGAAGCAUGGAACCCUGUUAUCAGACGGAUCUUCAUGCCCCUAAUGGAUGGAUCAUCCGCAGUUAGGAUGCUUGUUUUGGACAGUUGCUAUGCCCUUGUCGGUAGACUUAUGACGAUUCUCACAAUGGAAUGACUAUCCAAAGUGGAGAUGUGUUGUUGAACAGAUGCUAGUUAUUAUAACGCUUCUUUGUUUUCAGUUCGAAUUCCUGGCAUUAGCUAUAAUUGUGUGAAUACAAUUAGGAAAUCA